CUACUUCUAAUUCUUUGGCAACCUUCAGCCCUGCAAUCAGAGCUUCAUAUUCGGCUCCGUUAUUCAUUGCGGGGAACUCAAAGCGCAGUGCAUACUCCAUGACAAUUCCAUUUGGAUAGACCAAAAUCAGGCCCGCGCUCGUGCCUGACAUGUUGGAGGAACCAUCCACGUAGAGGGCCCAAGAACCAUCAGGGAGAUCGGCUCUUUCUUCGGGGGAGUUCGGUCGGAGUCCGGGAUUAUCGGCUUCAUCUUGUCCAAGUUCGGCUUCCUCUGGGAUAGUGCAUUCCAUCAUGAAAUCCGCUAAUAUCCGGGCUUUGAUCGCUGGCUGCGGUCGAUAGUUAAUGUCAAACUUUAUGAGCUCGACUGCCCAUUUCGCGAUUCUCCCUGAGGCAUCCGCUCGAUGCAGAACUGCCUUGAUCGGUUGGUCGGUGAGCAGCGUUACGGUGUGUCCUUGAAAGUAAGGUCGGAGCCUUCGAGCUGCAAUCAACAAGGUGUAAGUUAGUUUCUCUAACUUAGUAUACCUAGUUUCGGCGUCCCUCAAUACUCGGCUUAUGUAGUAGAUCGGCCGUUGGAUCUUCGCUUCUUCCUUGAUCAGAACUGCAGCAAGGGCCACAGGAAAAACCGCC
rnacentral:lncRNA from 1 species